UACGUAGGGUGCAAGCGUUAAUCGGAAUUACUGGGCGUAAAGCGUGCGCAGGCGGUUUUGUAAGCCAGAUGUGAAAUCCCCGGGCUUAACCUGGGAAUGGCAUUUGGGACUGCAAGGCUUGAGUGCGGCAGAGGAGACUAGAAUUCCUGGUGUAGCAGUGAAAUGCGUAGAUAUCAGGAGGAACACCGGUGGCGAAGGCGGUUCUCUGGGCAUUACCUGACGCUGAGGAGCGAAAGUGUGGGGAGCGAACAGG
rnacentral:rRNA from 1 species